AUCAUUUCCAAGUUGUUGCCCAAAGGUCAUUUUCAGGCUCCUUGCGGUUGGAAAGAAAUGUAAUUUUUGACAACUUCAGGUAAGCUAUUAACCAAAUAGAAUAACCAAGUGUUGAAAUGACUAGUUAUUAAUACCUGGGCUUCCCUAGUGGCUCAGACAGUAAAGAAUCUGCCUGUAACACAGGAGAUACAGGUUCAAUCCCUGGGUUGGGAAGAUCCCCUCAAGAAGAAAAUGGCAACCCGCUCCAGUAUUUUUGCCCAGGAAAUCCCACGGACAGAGAAGCCUGAUGGUGAGACUCUAAAGAAUGGAACUUACAAGGAACGGCCCUGCUCUGUGGGUGGAGAAAGGGAAGAAAUGACAUAAAAAAGACAACCUUACUGUAUGCCAAAGAAGCAUUCCCAACUACCUGGAAUAAUCUGCAUAAGUCAAGAUGAAUUUCCCCAUAUACAUCAAAAAGAGUGACAAGCACUUCUGUUUAUCAGCUCGCCUGUGGGGACUGCCACAUGGUAACAGCAUAAAGAGAAUUCAUAAAUUACUUUAUCCUCAUACUUUGAAAAUAUGUAAUUCCUGAUAAAUGUUAAACAUUUUGAGAGAUGUACAUUAUUUUGAAAUCUUUGCAUAAAAGGACACUUAACACUAAUGAAUCUAUCUUCAGGGCAGCAGUGGAGAUGCAGACAUAGAGAACACGUUUGGACACAGUGAGGGAGGGAGAAGGUGGAAUUAUUUGAGAGGGUAAACAUAUGCAUUGCUGCUACUGCUAAGUCACUUCAGUCAUGUCCAACUCUGUGCGACCCCAUAGACGGCAGCCCACCAGGCUCCCCUGUCCCUGGGAUGCUCCAGGCAAGAACACUGGAGUGGGUUGCCAUUUCCUUCUCCAAUGCAUGAAAGUGAAAAGUGAAAGUGAAGUCGCUCAGUCAUGUCUGACUCCUAGCGACCCCAUGGACUGCAGCCCAUCAGGCCCCUCCGUCCAUGGGAUUUUCCAGGCAAGAGUACUGGAGUGGAGUGCCAUUGCCUUAUGCAUUACCAUAUGUAAAACAGAUAGCUGGUGGGAAUUUGCUGUAUAACACAGGGAACUCAAAGCCAGUGCUUUGUGACAAC
ensembl:lncRNA